rnacentral:rRNA from 1 species
CUCGUAGGUGGUUUGUCGCGUCGUCUGUGAAAUUCUGGGGCUUAACUCCGGGCGUGCAGGCGAUACGGGCAUAACUUGAGUGCUGUAGGGGUAACUGGAAUUCCUGGUGUAGCGGUGAAAUGCGCAGAUAUCAGGAGGAACACCGAUGGCGAAGGCAGGUUACUGGGCAGUUACUGACGCUGAGGAGCGAAAGCAUGGGUAGCGAACA